rnacentral:rRNA from 1 species
UACGUAGGUGGCAAGCGUUGUUCGGAAUUAUUGGGCGUAAAGCGCGCGCAGGCGGAUUGGUCAGUCUGUCUUAAAAGUUCGGGGCUUAACCCCGUGAUGGGAUGGAAACUGCCAAUCUAGAGUAUCGGAGAGGAAAGUGGAAUUCCUAGUGUAGCGGUGAAAUGCGUAGAUAUUAGGAAGAACACCAGUGGCGAAGGCGACUUUCUGGACGAAAACUGACGCUGAGGCGCGAAAGCCAGGGGAGCGAACGGG